GGCUCAGGAUGAACGCUGGCGGCGUGCCUAACACAUGCAAGUCGAACGAAACUGAUUCCAUGAAACUUCGGUAGAUUGGAUGAAAGUUGAGUGGCGGACGGGUGAGUAACACGUGGGCAACCUGCCUCACAGAGGGGGGAUAGCAGUUGGAAACGACUGAUAAUACCGCAUAAGCGCACGGUACCGCAUGGUACAGUGUGAAAAACUCCGGUGGUAUGGGAUGGAUCCGCGUCUGAUUAGCCAGUUGGCGGGGUAACGGCCCACCAAAGCGACGAUCAGUAGCCGGUCUGAGAGGAUGAACGGCCACAUUGGGACUGAGACACGGUCCAGACUCCUACGGGAGGCAGCAGUGGGGAAUAUUGCACAAUGGAGGAAACUCUGAUGCAGCGACGCCGCGUGAGCGAUGAAGUAUUUCGGUAUGUAAAGCUCUAUCAGCAGGGAAGAAGAAAUGACGGUACCUGACUAAGAAGCCCCGGCUAACUACGUG
rnacentral:rRNA from 1 species